UUGAAACAUGUCAGCAACUCCUAGCAACUGUUAGCUAGGCUUAAAAUAUGUUUUACACAGCGGGGUUAGUUGUAGCACAGUGUUACAACUAAGCCGCCAAGUCUGCCACACACAAAUCUAAUUCAAUUGCAAUUACAAUAUUUGAUGAUUUUAUUUAUUCAUUGCAAAACUGUGCAGCCCUUUUCUAUGUCUCUAUCCAUGAUAUUGAUCCAUAAUAAAAGGAUGAUUGGAUGAGGGAUGGAUGUAUGGAUAUCUAUCUAUACAGAUGCACAAACAAUAUCAAACUAUAUAAAUAAAAUAGUACUGAAUUAUGUGUGUUACACCCAAGUAUUACAACUAACCCCUCUGUCUGUUACAAUUAACCCCGCAUAUGGGGUAAGUUGUAACAUUUGCACUUCUGUCACUUUCAGUGCAACAGUACGAAAAUGGUAGGUCCUAGAAAAAAACUUUAAGUGUUCAUUUGUAGCAGAGAUGUGUAUGUUGCUUGUGUAAAAAAAAGUUGAAUCUAACUUAAUAAUUUUUUUAAUAAUUGAGCCAAAACCAAAAUGUGUUAGGUUGUGCCCCGCUCUCCCCUACAUUUCUGAAAUGCACUUUCUGUAAAGCUGCUUUGAAUCAAUGUGUAUUGUGAAAAGCGCUAUACAAAUAAAUUUGAAUUUGAAUUUGAA